GGGGCCUUAGCUCGAAACAGGGAGAGCGCCUGCCUUGCGCAGGGAGGUCAGCGGUUCGAUCCGCUAGGCUCCACCA
rnacentral:tRNA from 1 species